rnacentral:rRNA from 1 species
GUGUCAGCAGCCGCGGUAAUACGAAGGGGGCUAGCGUUGUUCGGAAUUACUGGGCGUAAAGCGCACGUAGGCGGACUGUUAAGUCAGGGGUGAAAUCCUGGAGCUCAACUCCAGAACUGCCUUUGAUACUGAUGGUCUCGAGUCCGGAAGAGGUGAGUGGAAUUCCGAGUGUAGAGGUGAAAUUCGUAGAUAUUCGGAGGAACACCAGUGGCGAAGGCGGCUCACUGGUCCGGUACUGACGCUGAGGUGCGAAAGCGUGGGGAGCAAACAGGAUUAGAUACCCGCGUAGUCC